UGUAUCGUAUGUUUCUGGCCCUUGCCC
rnacentral:piRNA from 1 species